rnacentral:rRNA from 1 species
GAUGAACGCUAGCUACAGGCUUAACACAUGCAAGUCGCGGGGCAGCAUGGGGGUUGCUUGCAAUCCCCGAUGGCGACCGGCGCACGGGUGAGUAACGCGUAUCCAACCUGCCCUUCACCACGGGAUAACCCGGCGAAAGUCGGACUAAUACCGUAUGUUGUCCAUUGACGGCAUCCGAUUUGGACGAAAGGUUUGGCGGUGAAGGAUGGGGAUGCGUCCGAUUAGCUGGACGGCGGGGUGACGGCCCACCGUGGCGACGAUCGGUAGGGGUUCUGAGAGGAAGGUCCCCCACACUGGAACUGAGACACGGUCCAGACUCCUACGGGAGGCAGCAGUGAGGAAUAUUGGUCAAUGGGCGUAAGCCUGAACCAGCCAGGUAGCGUGCAGGAUGACGGCCCUAUGGGUUGUAAACUGCUUUUAUGCGGGGAUAAAGUGGCCCACGUGUGGGUUUUUGCAGGUACCGCAUGAAUAAGGACCGGCUAAUUCCGUG